GUCGAACGAGUUCUCGUUGAUGAUCGGUGCUUGCACCGAGAUUCAACAUGGAACGAGUGGCGGACGGGUGAGUAACACGUGGGUAACCUGCCCUUAAGUGGGGGAUAACAUUUGGAAACAGAUGCUAAUACCGCAUAGAUCCAAGAACCGCAUGGUUCUUGGCUGAAAGAUGGCGUAAGCUAUCGCUUUUGGAUGGACCCGCGGCGUAUUAGCUAGUUGGUGAGGUAAUGGCUCACCAAGGCGAUGAUACGUAGCCGAACUGAGAGGUUGAUCGGCCACAUUGGGACUGAGACACGGCCCAAACUCCUACGGGAGGCAGCAGUAGGGAAUCUUCCACAAUGGACGCAAGUCUGAUGGAGCAACGCCGCGUGAGUGAAGAAGGCUUUCGGGUCGUAAAACUCUGUUGUUGGAGAAGAAUGGUCGGCAGAGUAACUGUUGUCGGCGUGACGGUAUCCAACCAGAAAGCCACGGCUAACUACGUGCCAGCAGCCGCGGUAAUACGUAGGUGGCAAGCGUUAUCCGGAUUUAUUGGGCGUAAAGCGAGCGCAGGCGGUUUUUUAAGUCUGAUGUGAAAGCCCUCGGCUUAACCGAGGAAGCGCAUCGGAAACUGGGAAACUUGAGUGCAGAAGAGGACAGUGGAACUCCAUGUGUAGCGGUGAAAUGCGUAGAUAUAUGGAAGAACACCAGUGGCGAAGGCGGCUGUCUGGUCUGUAACUGACGCUGAGGCU
rnacentral:rRNA from 1 species